CUAGGCUAAGGUUUCAGCGGGGCAGACAUGCCCUUGGCAGCCCGUCUCCUGCCCUAGCAGCGCUAGGCCCAUCGCUACAGAGCCUGGGCGCCAGAGCCGCACAUGCAGCGAGCAGCGGCACCUGGACCCUCGGACAGGAAGUGGCCGCUCCGGCUGUGGGCUCAUCAUGAAAGGAGGGGAGCCUGGGGAGAGAGCCGAGGAAGAGCAGCUGCAAGAGCCUGUCUGAAGGCAGCGCCGAGCAGAUGUGGAGUGCGUGUCGGGGAAAACGGGAGGGGGCAGUCCGGGGCUGCCCCUGCGUCCAGAGAAGAUGCUCGACACACGCAGCCGGACCAACUCAAGGGGCAAGGGAAGAGUGGAGGGUUUUAGGGCGCAGACCAGGCUGCACAGCUGAAGCCGAGCUCCCAGAAAAAGGAGUGAAGCCCUGCCGGCUUUUGGACUAGAACCACACCAUCAACUCUUCUGGGU
rnacentral:lncRNA from 1 species